UACGUAGGAGGCAAGCGUUGUCCGGAAUCACUGGGCGUAAAGCGCGUGUAGGUGGAGCAGGAAGUCUGCUGUGAAAGCGCCUGGCUUAACCGGGCGAGGUCGGUGGAAACUCCUGGUCUAGAGGCCGGUAGAGGGGGGUGGAAUUCCGGGUGUAGUGGUGAAAUGCAUAGAUAUGUCUCAGAACACCGAUUGCGAAGGCAGCUUACUAUGGUCUUAUUGACGCUGAGGCACGAAAGCGUGGGGAUCAAACAGG
rnacentral:rRNA from 1 species